rnacentral:rRNA from 1 species
GGUGGUGAUAGCAAUGGGGAUACACCCGUUCCCAUUCCGAACACGGAAGUUAAGCCCAUUAGCGCCGAUGGUACUUGGGGGCAACCCCUUGGGAGAGUAGGACACUGCCG